AUUGAACGCUGGCGGCAGGCCUAACACAUGCAAGUCGAGCGAGCGGCGGACGGGUGAGUAAUGUAUGGGGAUCUGCCAGAUGGAGGGGGAUAACUACUGGAAACGGUAGCUAAUACCGCAUACUCUCAUAUGAACCAAUAUGGGAUUGGCUAGUAGGUGAGGUAACGGCGCACCUGGGCGACGAUCUCUAGCUGGUCUGAGAGGAUGAUCAGCCACACUGGAACUGAGACACGGCCCAGACUCCUACGGGAGGCAGCAGUGGGGAAUAGUGCACAAUGGGCGCAAGCCUGAUGCAGCCAUGCCGCGUGUAUGAAGAAGGCCUUCGGGUUGUAAAGUACUUUCAGUCGGGAGGCGUUACCGGCAGAAGAAGCACCGGCUAACUCCGUGCCAGCAGCCGCGGUAAUUC
rnacentral:rRNA from 1 species